rnacentral:tRNA from 2 species
GCGGACGUGGCGAAACUGGUAGACGCAAGGGACUUAAAAUCCCUCGGGCACCCCCCGUGCGGGUUCGAUCCCCGCCGUCCGCACCA